UACGAAGGGGGCGAGCGUUGUUCGGAUUUACUGGGCGUAAAGGGCGCGCAGGCGGUCUUGUUUGUCGAGUGUGAAAGCCCCGGGCUCAACCUGGGAACGGCGCUCGAAACGGCGGGACUAGAGAUCGGGAGAGGAGCGUGGAAUUCCCAGUGUAGAGGUGAAAUUCGUAGAUAUUCGGAAGAACACCAGUGGCGAAGGCGACUCACUGGACACAUAUUGACGCUGAGGUGCGAAAGCGUGGGGAGCAAACAGG
rnacentral:rRNA from 1 species